AAAGGGGGGCGUGCUAUACAUGCAAGUCGAGCGGACCGACGGGAGCUUGCUCCCUUAGGUCAGCGGCGGACACCUGAGUAACACGUGGGUAACCUGCCUGUAAGACUGGGAUAACUCCGGGAAACCGGGGCUAAUACCGGAUGCUUGAUUGAACCGCAUGGUUCAAUCAUAAAAGGCGGCUUCGGCUGCCGUUUACAGAUGGACCCGCGGCGCAUUAGCUAGUUGGUGAGGUAACGGCUCACCAAGGCGACGAUGCGUAGCCGACCUGAGAGGGUGAUCGGCCACACUGGGACUGAGACACGGCCCAGACUCCUACGGGAGGCAGCAGUAGGGAAUCUUCCGCAAUGGACGAAAGUCUGACGGAGCAACGCCGCGUGAGUGAUGAAGGUUUUCGGAUCGUAAAGCUCUGUUGUUAGGGAAGAACAAGUACCGUUCGAAUAGGGCGGUACCUUGACGGUACCUAACCAGAAAGCCACGGCUAACUACGUGCCAGCAGCCGCGGUAAUACGUAGGUGGCAAGCGUUGUCCGGAAUUAUUGGGCGUAAAGCGCGCGCAGGCGGUUUCUUAAGUCUGAUGUGAAAGCCCCCGGCUCAACCGGGGAGGGUCAUUGGAAACUGGGGAACUUGAGUGCAGAAGAGGAGAGUGGAAUUCCACGUGUAGCGGUGAAAUGCGUAGAGAUGUGGAGGAACACCAGUGGCGAAGGCGACUCUCUGGUCUGUAACUGACGCUGAGGCGCGAAAGCGUGGGGAGCGAACAGGAUUAGAUACCCUGGUAGUCCACGCCGUAAACGAUGAGUGCUAAGUGUUAGAGGGUUUCCUGCCCUUUAGUGCUGCAACAAACGCAUUUAGCCACUCCGCCUGGGGGAGUACGGUCGCAAGACUGAAACUCAAAGGAAUUGAACGGGGGCCCGCACAACCGGUGGAGCAUGUGGUUUAAUUUGAAGCAACCCAAAAAACCUUACCAGGCCUUGACUUCCUCUGACUUCCCUUAAAAAUAGGCUUCCCCCUUCGGGGGGAAAAUGGAAGGGGGGGCCAGGGUUGUCGCUCCCUUCGGGUCGGGAAAAGUUGGGUUAAAUCCCCCCAAAAGACCCGAAACCCUUGAAUUUUAUUUGCCACCCUUUCAUUGGGGCACCUCUUAGGGGGACGGCCCGGGGAAAAACCGGGAGGAAAGGGGGGGAAGAACCCCCAAUCUUUCUGCCCCCCUUUUACCCGGGCGACACACACGGUGCUAAAUAGGGGAAAAAAAAAAGGGGGGAAAAAAACCCCCCGGGGGGCCCCCCCCAAACCCCCCAAAAAAUUGUUUUUUUCUCCUUUUGCGGAAAAGACCCCCCUGGGCGCACACACCACCACGGGGGCGCGGGGAAAAAGGGGGGGGAAACCCCCCCUUA
rnacentral:rRNA from 1 species